UACGUAGGGUGCAAGCGUUGUCCGGAAUUAUUGGGCGUAAAGAGCUCGUAGGCGGUUUGUUGCGUCAGCUGUGAAAUCCCGAGGCUCAACCUCGGGUCUGCAGUCGAUACGAGCAAACUAGAGUGUUGCAGGGGAGACUGGAAUUCCUGGUGUAGCGGUGAAAUGCGCAGAUAUCAGGAGGAACACCGGUGGCGAAGGCGGGUCUCUGGGCAACAACUGACGCUGAGGAGCGAAAGCGUGGGGGAGCGAAACAGG
rnacentral:rRNA from 1 species